rnacentral:rRNA from 1 species
UACGAAGGGGGCUAGCGUUGUUCGGAGUUACUGGGCGUAAAGCGUGUGUAGGCGGUCCACUAAGUCGGAUGUGAAAGCCCUUGGCUCAACUGAGGAAGUGCAUCCGAAACUGGCAAGCUAGAGUAUGUAAGAGGGUCGCGGAAUUCCCGGUGUAGAGGUGAAAUUCGUAGAUAUCGGGAGGAACACCGGUGGCGAAGGCGGCGACCUGGGACAAUACUGACGCUGAGGUGCGAAAGCGUGGGGAGCAAACAGG